rnacentral:rRNA from 1 species
UUGAUCCUGGCUCAGAAUCAACGCUGGCGGCAUGCCUAACACAUGCAAGUCGAGCGAGAAAGGGUAGCAAUACCUGAGUAAAGCGGCGCACGGGUGAGUUACACGUGGAUAACCUGCCUCGAAGUGGGGAAUAACACCGGGAAACCGGUUCUAAUACCGCAUACACUGGUAAGAUCUGCGGAUUUUAUCAGGAAAGGAGUAAUUCGCUUUGAGAGGGGUCCGCGGCUGAUUAGCUAGUUGGUGAGGUAAUGGCUCACCAAGGCAACGAUCAGUAGCCGGUCUGAGAGGACGGUCGGCCAUACUGGAACUGAGACACGGUCCGGACUCCUACGGGAGGCAGCAGUGGGGAUUUUUUCGCAAUGGGGGAAACCCUGACGAAGCAAUGCCGCGUGGGUGAUGUAGUCUCUUGGGACGUAAAACCCUUUCGACGGGGACGAAACCGCAAGGUUUACGGUACCCGUAGAAGAAGCCCCGGCUAACUCCGUGCCAGCAGCCGCGGUAAUAAGGU